AGACUCCUACGGGAGGCAGCAGUGGGGAAUAUUGCACAAUGGGGGAAACCCUGAUGCAGCGAUGCCGCGUGGAGGAAGAAGGUUUUCGGAUUGUAAACUCCUGUCUUAAAGGACGAUAAUGACGGUACUUUAGGAGGAAGCUCCGGCUAACUACGUGCCAGCAGCCGCGGUAAUACGUAGGGAGCGAGCGUUGUCCGGAAUUACUGGGUGUAAAGGGAGCGUAGGCGGGACGGCAAGUCAGAUGUGAAAUACAUGGGCUCAACCCAUGGGCUGCAUUUGAAACUGCUGUUCUUGAGUGAAGUAGAGGUAAGCGGAAUUCCUGGUGUAGCGGUGAAAUGCGUAGAUAUCAGGAGGAACACCGGUGGCGAAGGCGGCUUACUGGGCUUUUACUGACGCUGAGGCUCGAAAGCGUGGGGAGCAAACAGGAUUAGAUACCCUGGUAGUCCACGCUGUAAACGAUGAUUACUAGGUGUGGGGGGACUGACCCCUUCCGUGCCGCAGUUAACACAAUAAGUAAUCCACCUGGGGAGUACGGCCGCAAGGUCGAAACUCAAAGGAAUUGACGGGGGCCCGCACAAGCAGUGGAGUAUGUGGUUUAAUUCGAAGCAACGCGAAGAACCUUACCCGGGCUUGAAUUGCAGAGGAAGGAUUUGGAGACAAUGACGCCCUUCGGGGCCUCUGUGAAGGUGCUGCAUGGUUGUCGUCAGCUCGUGCCGUGAGGUGUCGGCUUAAGUGCCAUAACGAGCGCAACCCCUCUCCAUAGUUGCCAUCAGGUGAAGCUGGGCACUCUGUGGACACUGCCACCGUAAGGUGCGAGGAAGGUGGGGAUGACGUCAAAUCAGCACGGCCCUUACGUCCGGGGCCACACACGUGUUACAAUGGCAGGUACAGAGAGCCGGUCGUAUGCAAAUACGAUCCAAUCCUUAAAGCCUGUCUCAGUUCGGACUGGGGUCUGCAACCCGACCCCACGAAGCUGGAUUCGCUAGUAAUCGCGCAUCAGCCAUGGCGCGGUGAAUACGUUCCCGGGCCUUGUACACACCGCCCGUCAAGCCAUGAAAGCCGGGGGCGCCUGAAGUCCGUGACCGCAAGGAGCGGCCUAGGGCGAAACUGGUAAUUGGGGCUAAGUCGUAACAAGGUAGCCGUACUAGUACGUUUA
rnacentral:rRNA from 1 species